UACGUAGGGGGCAAGCGUUGUCCGGAAUCAUUGGGCGUAAAGCGCGUGUAGGCGGCUCGGUAAGUCCGCUCUGAAAGUCCAGGGCUCAACCCUGGGAUGCGGGUGGAUACUGCCGGGCUCGAGUCCGGAAGAGGCGAGUGGAAUUCCUGGUGUAGCGGUGAAAUGCGCAGAUAUCAGGAGGAACACCGAUGGCGAAGGCAGGUCUCUGGGCAUUAACUGACGCUGAGGAGCGAAAGCAUGGGGAGCGAACAGG
rnacentral:rRNA from 1 species